GACAGAGGUGCCGAGCGUUAGGCGGAAUCACUGGGCGUAAGGGGUGCGUAGGCGGGUCUUUAAGUCAGGGGUGAAAUCCUGGAGCUCAACUCCAGAACUGCCUUUGAUACUGAAGAUCUUGAGUUCGGGAGAGGUGAGUGGAACUGCGAGUGUAGAGGUGAAAUUCGUAGAUAUUCGCAAGAACACCAGUGGCGAAGGCGGCUCACUGGCCCGAUACUGACGCUGAGGCACGAAAGCGUGGGGAGCAAACAGG
rnacentral:rRNA from 1 species